ensembl:lncRNA
CCUAAAUGGCCUAGUGGUUUUCCCUGCUUUUUCAAUUCAAGCAUGAAUUUUGCAAUAAGUAACUCAUGAUCUGAGCCACAGUCAGUUCCUGGUCUUUUUUUUGCUGACUGUAUAGAGCUUCUCUGUUUUCAGCUGCUAAGAAUAUAAUGUCUGACUUAGGUAUCGACUAUCUGGUGAUGUCCAUGUGUAAAGUCAUCUCUUAUGUUGUUGGAAGAGAGUGUUUGCUAUGACCAGUGUGUUCCAUUGACAGACCUCUGUGACCCUUUGUUCUUCUCCAUGUUGUACUCUGAGGCCAAACUUCCUGUUUCUCCAGGUAUCUCUUGACUUCCUGCUUUCGCAUUCUAAUCCCCUGUGAUGAAAAGAACAUCUUUUCUUGGUUUUAAUUCUAGAAGGCCUUGUAGGUCUUCAUAGAACCAUUCAACUUCAGCUUCUUCAGCCUUAGUGGUUGGGGGCAUAGACUUGGAUUACUUUGGUGUUGAAUGUUUUUCCUUGAAAAUGAACUGUGCUCAUUCUGUCAUUUUUGCGAUUGCACCCAAAUUCUGCAUUUCAUACUCUUGAGUUGACUAUGAGGGCUACUCUCUUUCUCUUAAGGGAUUCUUGCCCAUGUAGUAGAUGUAAUGGUCAUCUGAAUUAAAUUCACCCAUUCCCAUCCAUUUUAGUUCACUGUUUUCUAAAAUGUCGAUGUUCACUCUUACCAUCUCCUGUUUGACCAUGUCCAGUUUACCUUGAUCCAUGGACCUAAUCUUCCAGGUUCCUAUUGCUUACAGUAUCAGAUUUCGCUUUCACCACAAUACACAUCCACAGCUGAGCGUUAUUUCCACUUUGGCCCAGCCUCUUCAUUCUAGAGUAGUUUAUUGACAAGUGAAAGUGAAAGUCUCUCAGUCAUGUCUGACUCUUUGCGACCCCAUGGACUAUACAGUCCCUGGAAUUCUCCAGGUCAGAAUACUGGAGUGGGUAACCUUUCCUUUUUCCAGGGGAUCUUCUCGACCCAGGGACUGAACCCAGGUCUCCCACAUUGCAGAUGGAUUCUUUACCAGCUGAGCCACAAGGGCAGUCCAAGAACACUGGAGUGAGUAGCCUAUCCCUUCUUCGGGGGAUCUUCCUGACCCAGGAAUCAAAUCGGGGUCUCCUGCAUUGCAGGCGGAUUCUUGGCCAAGUUUCUUGACAAUGUUGUGUGAAUUUCAGGUGCACAGUGAAGUGACUCAGUUUUAUAUGCACAUGUAUCCACUUUUUCUUUUUUAAGAUUCUUUCCCCAGAUAUGCCAUUUAAAAGCAUUGAGUAGAGUUCCUUGUGCUAUAUAGCAGGUACUUACUAGUUAUCUGUUUUCUACAUAGUAGUGUAAUGUGUCAGUUCCAAUCUCCUAAUUUAUCCCUGCCCACCACCUUAUUCCCUGGUAACCAUGAAUUUGUUUUCUACAUCUGUGAUUCUACUUCUGAGCUUUUAGAAAAAGUUUCUUAUUCAUCUGCUGCAUCAGGUCUUGGCUGCAGCAUGUGGGCUCUUCGGUUGCGAUGCACAAACUCUCUUGUGGCGCUCGGGCAUGGGCUUAGUUGCUCUGUAGUAGAUGGAAUCUUAGUUCCCAGGUCAGGAAUCAAACUUGCAUACCCUGCACUGCAAGAUCACUUAGCGUCAUUGCACAGUGAACACCUUCAGAGAUGAAGAGUCUUCCCAGUGGAAGUCUUACAUACCUCCUCCCCAAGGUGUUUCCCUGAGAUGCAGAAAGGAAGCUGAAGAGGAAUAGCAAGAAGGGAUGAAAAAGCCUUCUUCAGUGAACAGUGCAAAGAAAUGGAGGAAAAUGAUAGAAUGGGAAAGACUAGAGAUCUCUUCAAGAAAGUUGAAGAUAGCAGGGGAACAUUUCAUGCAAAGAUGGGAACAAUAAAGGGCAGAAAUGGUAUGGAUCUAAUAGAAGCAGAAGGUAUUCAUAAGAGGUGGCAAGAAUACACAGAAUAACCAUACAAAAAAGAUCUUAAUGACCUGGAUAAUCAUGAUGGUGUGGUCAGUCACCUAGAGCCAGAUAUCCUGGAGUGUGAAAUCAAAUGGACCUCAGGAAGAAUCACUACAAGCAAAACUUGUGGAGGUGAUGGAAUUCCAGUUGAACUAUUUCAAAUCUUUAAAAUGUUGCUGUUAAAGUCCUGCACUCAAAAUGCCAGCAAAUUUGGAAAAUUCAGCAGUGGCCAUAGGACUGGAAAAAGUCAGUUUUUAUUCCAAUUCCAAAGAAUGGCAGUGCCAAAGAAUGUGCAAAUUACCGCACAGUUUCACAUGGUAGCAAGGUAAUGCUCAAAAUCUUUCAAGCUAGGCUUCAACAGUACAAGAACCUGGAACUUGCAGGUGUACAAGCUGAGUUUAUAAAAAGCAGAGGAACUAGAGGUCAAAUUGCCAGCAACCAUUGGAUCCAAGAAAAAGCAAGGGUAUUCCAAAAAAUAUCUACUUCUGCUUCAUUGACUACACAAAAGCCUUUGGCUGUGUGGAUCACAACAAACUCUGGACAAUUUUCAAAGUGAUGCAAAUACUAGACCAUCUUACCUAUCUCUUGAGAAAUCGGAAGAAGCAACAGUUAGAACUGAACAUAGAACAACAGACUGGUUCAAAAUUGGGAAAGGAGUAUUUCAAGUCUGUAUAUUUAACCUGUUUAUUUAACCUCUGUGCAGAGUACAUCAUGCAAAAGGCUGGGCUAGAUGAAUAACAAGCUCGAAUCAAGAUUGCUGGGAGAAUUAUCAACAAAUAUACAAAUGAUACCACUCUAAUGGCAAAAGUGAAGAAGAACUAAAGAGCUGUUUGAUGAGGGUUGAAAGAGAAGAGUGAACAGCUGGCUUAAAACUCAGCAUUCAAAAAACUAGUAUCAUGGCAUCUGGUCCCAUCACUCAUGGCAAAUAGAUGAGGAAAAAUGGAAACAAUGACAGAUUUUCUUUUCAUGGGCUCCAGAAUCAUUGCGGGUGGUGACUGCAGCCAUGAAAUCAGAAGAUGCUUGCUCCUUGGAAGAAAAGCUAUGACAAACCUAGGCAGCAUAUUAAAAAACAUACACAUCACUUUGCAGAAAAAGGUCCAUCUAUUCAAAGCUAUGAUUUUUUUUCCAUUAGUCAUGUAUGGAUGUGACAUUUUGACCAUAUAGAAGGCUGAGCAAUGAAGAAUUGAUGUGUUCGAGCUUUGGUGCUAGAAAGGCUCUUAAGAGUCCCCUGGACAGCCAGGAGAUAAAACCAGUCAAUCGUAAAGGAAAUAAACCCUGAAUAUUCACUGGAAAAUGGAUGCUAAAACUGAAGCUCCAAUACUUUGGCCACCUGAUGCAAAGAGCGGGCUCACUGGAAAAGAGCCUGAUGUUGGCAAAGACUGAGGACAGUAGGAGAAGAGCACUGGAGGAUGAGAUGGCUGGAUGGCAUCACCAACUCAAUGGACAUGAGUUUGAACAAACUCCAGAAGAUAGUGAAGGACAGGAAGCCUGGUGUGCUGCAGCCCACGCGGUUGCAAGAGUUGGACAGGACUUAGCAACUUCUCAUUCUGAGAAGAGAAUGAAGAUCAGAGGGAUGAUCAGCUGGAGGUGAUCACUGAUGAUGAAAAAGAGGCCGAGGGACGAGGGGAUGGCAGAGAUGGCUUUCACGGUUUACCCUGCUUCUCCCUCAUCCUCCUGUAUAGCAGUAGCAACAUCGGAGAAUUGCUGCUAGGGAUGGUAGAGAGUGGAAGGGACACUGAGCAUGUGAAAAUAUUUCUGCAGGUGACCAAAUAGAUAAUAUUAGAAGUAGUUCUAACAUUGAGCAACUUUUGUUUCUUUCCUACUAUGUACAAGUCUCCAUGCUAAGGACUGACGAAAAGACGAGUAAAGUACCAUUCUUCCUUUAAGUCAUUUGAGACCCUAUGAUGAAGGUGGGAUGCAUUUAAUGGCAUUUCUCAUAUUAAGUCACCAGAUUAAAAAAUAAAUUGAAG